ACAUCCCGAGGACUCAGUCUCAGGGCAGUCAGGACGCUGAGGCUGGCGAAGGUAGAAUCGAGGAAACCGGUGAGACACCAAGGAGCACCUGCCUCCAAAGCCGGAAAUACAGCAGGUGGAAACACAGCAGGCGGGGGCUGGAGGGGCACUGGGAGGGAGGCAUGAGGCAGGAGCCUGGGGACCUUGAAGGGGACACUUGGGUGGACACUUAGCAGAGAACUGGCACUUCUGCUUUUUUUGCUGGGAGGACAUCUUGGACAAACUUCAGUUAUCCUGAAGAGAAAAAAACAAUGCAGACAUUUUGAUAAACUAAUGAAUGCAAACUGUUUUGCAUUCACAUUUCUGCACAGCUUGAAACUCUGCAACUAAACCUGUGAGUCCAUAGGCUACGGCGUCAUGACAGUAGAGAAGCCCUGGUUUCCCAGCAUGGAAGAAGCCCAGCAGUGGGUAAACCAGAGUUAGGCACAGAUCCCAAGAAACAUUUCUACAUUCUUAUUCCCAUGCAACCUCAUCCUUCUGCUGGAAUAAAAAGCAAGUUCUGACAUCGUGGAAAGACACAAAUAUAUCUGCCUAUAGUUCUGAAAUCAUUACAGAGGUUUUCAAGCUUUUUACAUCUGUCCCAUCACCUUGUCAUCAGGAAAGAAGACAUUUCCCAGCACCCACAUGGUGACUCUCAAUCAUCUGUAACUAUAGUUCCAGCAGAUCUGGUAUAAUCACAACCGUCUGUGACUACAGCUCCUGCAGAUCCAGUGUAAUCUCAACUAUCUAUAACUACAGUUCAGGCAGAUCUGGUGAAAUCACAACCAUCUGUAACUACAGUUCCAAUAGAUCCAGUGCCGUCUUCUGAUUUUGGCAGGUACCAGUCAUGUACUUGGUAUACAUGUAUACAUGUAGGUAAAACAUUCACACACAUAGAUUUUCAAAAAAUUGUAAAAGACUUACAAACUGAAUUCACAAAUGCAUAAAAAGACUAUAUACUCUGAGCAAGUAAGCUUCAUCUUAAAGAUGCAGCUAUGGUUCACACUACAUAAACUGAUAAAAAGAAUCCAUGAUCUCAAAGGCAGAAACUAUGUGAUCAUCUAAUUAGAUACAGAAAACACUUUUGACAAAAUCUAAAAUCUUUUCAUAAGAAAAGUCCUGAGGAAUCUAGGGAUGUGGUAUAGAUGUAAAAAAUGACUUUUAGAAUAGGAUUCCAUUUGCCUAUGAAUAAGGUCAACAACUGACAAGUGGGACUUCAUAAAACUAAGAAGCUUCUGCACAGCUAAAGGAGCAAUCAGGUGAAGAGGAAGCCCACAGAAGGGGAGAUAAUUCUUUCCAUCUAUACAACUGACAGAAGAUUAAUAAAAAGGGAACUCAAAAGAAAAAAACAGUCAAAAAGAAAAAAGAAAAGAAAAGAAAACAACAACAAUAAUAAAACCCUAAUGAUUUAUUAGAAAAAUGGGCCUGGGAAAAAAGAGCUAAGAGAAAUCUUUAAAAAUGUUCACCAUCCUUAGCAAUUAUGGAAAUGCAAUAAAAACAUCAGUUAUUUCAUCUUACCACAGCAUGGUAAAGAUGAACAAAAGAACUGACAACAGAUGCUGGAAGGAGUGUCAGGGGAAGGAAACCCUUACUUACUGUUGGUGACAUUGCAAACUGAUGUAGCUACUAUGGAAAUCAAUGUGGAGAAUUCUCAAGAGGACAAAAAUAAUCUACCAUAUUACCCAGUUAUGCUACUCCUGAGCAUAUGCCCAGAGGACUUCACAUCUGACUCUACAGAUAUUUGCUCAACCAUGUCCACUGACACUCUAUUCACAAUAGCAAGGAAAUGGAAACAACCUAAAUACCCUGCAAAAGAUGAAUGGAUAACGAAAAUGUGGUUCAUAUCUAUUAUGGAAUGCUAUUCAGAUAUAAAGUAAAAUGAAAUCAUGAACUUUGCAGGUAAAUGAUGGAACCAGGAAAGUUCAUAUUGAAUAAGGUAACCUAGACACGGAUACAUCCUAUGUUCUCUCAUCUGAGACUCCUAGCUCCAAAUCCUCAGAUGUGAGUACAUAUCCUGGAGUAAAUGCAGAAACCAGGAAACUUAAAAAGGAACUAUUGCUAGGGUGUGGCAUGGGAGAGCAAUAGAGAAGUGAAUGGUAGUAUACAAGUGAUGUGAUGGGGGAAAAUGUGAAAAUGUGAGAGAGGCUAGGGAUGGGGGAGGGAGAUAAAAACAGAAGAAGAGAGAUGGGGGUAUGAUGGUAAAAUAACAGUAAGAAUGUCUGAAACAGUCAUAAAAAAUCAUACUAUUAAACUAUUUACCAAAAAAUCUAUAGCAUGUAAAUCUGAGUAUACAGACAGGCACAUAUAUAGUUUAAAUAAAUUUUCUCACCUAGGCUCACAUUAUUUCCCCCAAGAGCCAAAGACCACCUAAUAAAAACCCUAAAUGCCAGGCAUGAGAAGUCCUCGUUUGAGUUGUUGGUCAGGCUUGUCUAAGACACCCCUCAAACAUACAGCUUACUGCUAUUGCCUUGGCAGCCCACCAGAGGUAGAAGGUGAGUCCCUACUGUUCAAGACAUCAUUCAGAAACAGAGCCCAGAGGUCCCUGAGAUGGACCUGACCUGUAUUUCCUCCUUGAGGACUAGCUUUCAUGGUACUCAAAAGCUCUCUGCAAGUCUCCAAAGUAUGGAAGUAACCAAUAGUUCUACACAGCUAUGAUGCUGAAGAAACACAAAAACAAGCAGCAUGGCACAGGAAACCUAAGGAUGCAGUAGUGGCGUGUGUACCCUGGUGGUCACAUGAGAGCCAAAGUUACACUUUAAGUUUUAAUUACUAUGCCCUCGAGAUCCAUGAAACACAAAUGCCUCUGAUCUGCAAGCCCCUUGUCCAAGGACUGAUAGUUUCUGAAAUGCUAGAGGCUAUUUUUUAUGGGAGAUAACAAGCCACACAUUUUUACUCCCCUAAACAAGUUUGUUUGACC